GACGAACGCUGGCGGCGUGCUUAACACAUGCAAGUCGAACGCAAAUGUCCCUUUGGGUGUACUCGCGUAGCGAACGGGUGAGUAACCCGUGAGUAACCUAACCUUGGCUUCAGGUAAACAUCAGGGAACUGGGGCUCAUGCCGGCUAGUAAUCCUUGCUGCAAAGUGUUUGUUCGGCAUCUUCGGGGGUUUUGGAUCGCCUCGCGGCUUAACAGCUUGAUGGUGGGGCAGUGGCUUACCAAGGUUUUGACGGGUAGCCGCACUGAGAGGGCGACCGGCGACAUUGGGACUGAGAUACGGCCGAGACUCCUACGGGAGGCAGCAGUGGGGAAUAUUGAACGAUGGGCGGAAGCCUGAUGCAGCAGCGCUGCGUGCGGUAUGACGCUGUUCGGGUUGUAAACCGAUUUCAGCAGGGGCGAAGCUUGUGGUGACGGUACCUGCAGAAGAAGCACCGGCUAACUACGUG
rnacentral:rRNA from 1 species